UUACUUAAUUUGGACAAGACAAAAGUAUUUUUUCUAGGAUUACAGGCAGCUAGAAGUAAUCUGAUAAUUUUGUAACACUGGAUGGCCUUUUACACAUUGUGUGCAGCUGUAUAAAACAUUGGACUUGGUCUUGCUCUCAUUUUAAGAUAAUAAUAGUACUUUUUUUCAUUACAGAAAUAUUGUAAGAACAGAAAAUGUCACUGUGUGGUGAUGACAAAACUAGUUCAUGAUUUUAUUAUUUCCAGGUUGGACUUUUGUAACAUCUUGUUCUCUGGAUGUUCCAGUAAGCGCACAAACAAGCACCAGAAUAUACAGUACAGGAGUAGAGAAGUGUAAAAGGUCUUUUGUGAUCUCUUACCUUCUAAUGAGCUGUGGGCAUUUCAGCAGCGUUUGGUCUGAUCAGUGGGUCGAGCUGCUGUGUAGGCUACAAUGAGCACUCUUCAAACUGCUGACAUUAUGCACAGGCCCCUCAUGUCAAACCACACAAGACCUACCUGAUCCAUCCUAAUGAUCUACUUCUGGUUGGAGUCACAUCACUUUUGUGAGAUUGCUAUUCACCUAAAACUGACACCUGGACUUUAACUGUCCAGCUUGGGUGAGUUUGUGCUCAUGAUAGCUUGAGUGGAACCUGAUGUGGUCUUCUGCUUUGUAGCUCAUCCAUCUCAAGGUUUGAUGUAUUGUGAGUUCUGACAUGAUUUUCUGCUCACCUAUACUACUAUACACUUUCUGUAAGCUCAGGCCAGUCUGCUCAUUCUCUUCUGAUCUCUAUCAACAAGGUGUUUCAGUUCACAAUGACUUCAGAAGAAGUUAAGCAUUUUGGAAUGGUACAGUCAGAGCCCAGAUCUCAAUCUUAUCAAAAUCCCAUCGAAUGCCUCCAAGGGUGCUGAGCAGAGACAAUCCCUUCACAACUGGCUAGAUCUGGAGCAUUUUCUCAGAAAGAAUCGAAAAAGUUUAUAAGUGAAGUUGGAUUACUUUAUAUGCAGUUGCACAGAUGUUAUAUGACUGUACUGUAUUAUUCAUUUAUUCAUUCAUUUUCUACCGCUUAUCCGAACUUCUUGGGUCAAAGGGAGCCUGUGCCUAUCUCAGGCGUCAUUGGGCAUCA